rnacentral:rRNA from 1 species
AACGAACGCUUGCGGCGCGCCUAAUACAUGCAAGUCGAACGAGAAAAUUUCUUCGGAAGUGAGUACAGUGGCGGACGGGUGAGGAACACGUAGGUAAUCUACCCUUUGGCGGGGGAUAACGUUCCGAAAGGGACGCUAAUACCGCAUAAGACCACGAUGUCCUCGGACAAUGUGGGAAAAGGUGGCCUCUUCUUGAAAGC